rnacentral:lncRNA from 1 species
UGGGAAAGUAAGGAAAAGACUGUUUUCUCAAGUUACACUGUCUCCACAGACCUGCCUGAAAUCAUUUCAGAGGACUCCUUGUCCUGGCAAAUAGGUGGUGAUGGUAGCUGUAGGAUCUCUCGGGAUGAUGCUCUGCCAGAGAAAUCAGAGCAGAAAGCCAGUGUGCUGGAGACAUAUUUUUUUUACUUGCAUCAAUUGAACAAGAUCAGGGGUUGUAGUUCAGAAGAAGGAAGUUUAUCUUUCUCCAGCCACGUCACUGGGCUUUUGGAAAACAAUGCCGGCAAAGGGGAUCCAGAGAAGAAAGACAUAGGUGAAGAAAUCAGACCCAAUGAUGAGAGCGGUGUAUUUCAAGCUAUUGCUUGCAGAGACAUUGAUCAACCAGGAUGGAAGAAUGCACAGCAUGAUUCUGUUGAAGAAGAAACUCCUGAAAAACACCUCUUUCCAAAGUCUUUGAGCAAUCUUAUUAAGGAGUCAAAGCUUCGCCCAGAAGAGAGGCCAUUUGCUUCCUCCAUAAAAAUUACCUCCAAAGCAACUGGUUAUAAGAACUACUGUGAGAAAUCCAGUGUGGCAUGGCCUUCUCAUAAACGUGGGGAACAGAAAUUAAGAUCACAAAACAUGUCACGACCAAGUUCAGCCAAGGCAGAAAAGAGAAAAAGCACCGACAGCUCUCACAGCAUUUGUCCAUCUGGUUGUGCAGUUAUUGAGGAAAUAAAUGUAUACCCUGCCCAAACAUCAAUGAGUCCUCUGCUUACCAAAGACCAGCAGCAGCCAAUGCGAUAUCAAAACUCAACAGGACUUUGUGGCAAAGUUUGCACAGGGUCUACACCCAAAUACCUUUGCAAGAAUGAUUUGGAGAGAGAAAUGGCAAAUAAGAAGAAUAAAGGAGACUCAGCACUCUCUUUGUGGCAGCUUCUGCCAGAUGAAAUAUGGAUCUGCAUCUUUUCCCUUCUGUCUCAUAAGGAACUCUCCUGUAUUGCACAAGUUUGCCAUCAUUUCUGCCGGCUUGCGAGUGAUAACAGCUUUUGGAAGCGAAUCUACAUUUCAGACUGCCAUUCCUUGAAUGACACCUGGCUGGUCACCUUGGGGCGCCAUCAUCCCCAGUCCCUCACUUUGCAUCGCUGCC